CACUUUAGGUGUUAAACCUUUUCCUGCAGGUGGUUUCUCUAGCCUGAGAGUGACUAGAAUUCAAAAAAGCUACAAGCAGGUAUGACUCUCCCUAUGGUCCAGGUAAGAAAUACCCAAACUGAAGACACUAAAGAUAAAGAGAAGAUGAAUUGAGUCAUUUGCAAAGAAGGUAAAAUUGACAAGCUGGUAUUCAACGGAAGCACGGAUAACAGAAACAGGCCUCUACACCAACAAGGAAAUGUUAACCAACAAAACAACCUGAUAUAUCCAACUCUGGAGCCCAAAUGCUAUGGGCCACUGAACACCAAGAGGCAGCGGGCCGGCUGAUCAUUUGGCAAAGCGGCCUGAUCUCAUGGUUUUACCCCUAAGGAAGCCAGCAUGUGGCUACUGACCCACCCACCACAGGAAUCCAGGGGCUAAAUGCCUAAGCCAACGGCCCAGGUUCUCAAGAGGCCAGGCAGGGUGAGGGACCACAAUAAUUCCUCAGCAGCAACCACUACCAUGUUGUAAAAUAACAUAGCUUUGUGUUCCCCAAUAAAAUCAUUAAAUCGCAUUCUUUGAAAGUUUUGUUUAGUCCUUUUAUAAAAAUAUGAGGCGCGCCUGAUUUUCAUACCCACAAGCUCAGAUCUGCAAAUAUUAGAGAUUUUUUUUAAUGUCAUUUAUUCGUACCAUGAAAUUUUUUUCCACAAUUUCUUUUUUUUUUUUUUUUUCCCUUUAGUCAUAGUUGCAGUUCAUGGA
ensembl:lncRNA